UACAGAGGUCUCAAGCGUUGUUCGGAUUCAUUGGGCGUAAAGGGUGCGUAGGCGGCGCGGUAAGUCGGGUGUGAAAUCUCGGAGCUUAACUUCGAAACUGCAUUCGAUACUGCCGUGCUUGAGGACUGGAGAGGAGACUGGAAUUUACGGUGUAGAGGUGAAAUUCGUAGAUAUCGGGAGGAACACCGGUGGCGAAGGCGGCGAUCUGGGUCGAUACUGACGCUGAGGUGCGAAAGCGUGGGGAGCAAACAGG
rnacentral:rRNA from 1 species